AAAUAAUAAAUAAAAACAUCAAACCGCAACACGACUCAAGAAAUGCAUGAAAUGAAACAUGUAUGAAAAGUGCAGCACAAAGGAUGCGCCUUAAUGCGUGCGCCACUAGCCUUGGUCGCCGUAUAAUAUUCUACUAAGACGUUACUCCGACGAAAUUGUCGAGGAACUUCUAAAACAAAAAACCCUCUUAGUUUCUAUAUUAACACACACUGUAGUUAAUAACUAUCCUGGUACAAUUAGUCCGAGAACCGAUGUCUACAAUUGCUUCCGCGUGCCUUUUAAUCUAACUAGCGUCGCCCCCAGGAAUGGCUUGCGUAGCCAGAAUGUUUAAUUGUUCCUCUUUAGUGUGUGCUAGAUGGUAAAGAAUAAAACUGUUGAAACUA